GGUGAGAUGGCCGAGUGGUUAAGGCGUUGGUCUUGUUCGUCACCCUUACCUCAGCUGUUCUCUCGACUGUACUAACAACCUCGUAGAAGUUCCAAUAACGUAAAGUUGCGUGGGUUCGAACCCCACUCUCACCA